UACAGAGGGUGCAAGCGUUAAUCGGAAUUACUGGGCGUAAAGGGUGCGUAGGUGGUUAGGUAAGUUAAGUGUGAAAGCCCCGGGCUCAACCUGGGAAUGCCGCUUAAUACUGCCUAACUAGAGUAUUGUAGAGGAAAGUGGAAUUUCCGGUGUAGCGGUGAAAUGCGUAGAUAUCGGAAGGAACAUCAACGGCGAAAGCACUCUGCUGGGCCGACACUGACACUGAGAGACGAAAGCUAGGGGAGCGAAUGGG
rnacentral:rRNA from 1 species